rnacentral:rRNA from 1 species
UACGAAGGGUGCAAGCGUUACUCGGAAUUACUGGGCGUAAAGCGUGCGUAGGUGGUGAGUUAAGUCUGAUGUGAAAUCCCCGGGCUCAACCUGGGAAUGGCAUUGGAUACUGGCUCGCUAGAGUGCGGUAGAGGGUGGUGGAAUUCCCGGUGUAGCAGUGAAAUGCGUAGAGAUCGGGAGGAACAUCUGUGGCGAAGGCGAGUCUCUGGACAUUUCCUGACGCUGAGGCGCGAAAGCCAGGGGAGCGAACGGG